CAAAGAUGAAACUGCAGAAACUCAGCUUUGGGGCAUGUUGGUCUCACCCCAGAUAACAUUCCUUUGAGCUAUGGGCACACCCGUGUCUGCGAGGGGGCUGAAGAGCAGGGCACCAUUGCCAUAUGGAACAGAACAAUGAAGUCUAUCACCCCAGUAUUCAUCAGCAUUAUCUUCCUCCAUACUGAGAUUUAAUCCGCAAGUGUCCUGAUUAUUUUUAUCUAGUUUGCAGACUGAAUUCAUUUAUAAGAGCUUUCUAAUUGGAUGCUGGUUUCUCAGAAGCAAAGAAGUAAAGACACAAAAGGUAAAUUCCAAUAAUAAGAUGCCUUUUAACCACAAAGUGUCAAUACUGAUAGAGACUUUCAGGAUUAUUUGGUGUACCUCUUCAUUUUAUCAGUAAAGUGAUUUGGCCAAUGUUACAUGGCUAUGUAGUGGCAGAGAAAGGACAUGACCUUGGAGUUAAGGGAACCAACUGUCCUGGUUUGCCCAAAACCAAGGGAGUCUUGAGACAUGAAACUUUUUGUUUUUAAAGCAGGACAAGCCGAGGCAAUCUGUCUAUAUUUGCCUGGGACUGAGAUGUUUCCUAGGAUAUGGGACUUUUGUGCUAAGAUAGGGAAAGUCCCAAAGUGGGAGCAGUUGAUCACCCUAAAUCCAGUGCUCUCUUCACUACGUAAAUCUUCUCCUUUUUUACCAGUCCCAUAAAAUGUUACAACUUCUACCCUCAAAUUAAUCCCAGCAAGAGCCCAGUGAUAAGAAAUGCAGUUUGAUAGUUAUUGCAUUGCUGCAUCCCCUCUAAUAGGAUAAAAUUUUAUCCAUUAAUUAUAACACAUAAAUUAUCAAAAUCAGAGCCUCAAGAAUCACUAUAUAUUUUUAAAAAUGAAUUUGGGGGUCUUUAAAUAAUUACACUUUAAGAAAAACUCAAAAGGAGGCAAAUGAGUAUCAUGAAAAUGAGCAUUAGGAAGCCAGUCCUUGUUUAAGUAGCAAAUUAUUAUUAUAUGUCCGAACUAAUCAAGUUGUCACUGCUAAGAACAGAAGGCCACAGUAGGCUCACAAAGUUAUGCUAAUUAUCCUAAGAGUCAAUUCAGAAUGCAACCAUUACUCAGGAAGCACUCCUCUGACUCUGUAAUUGGCCUACAAUUCCUGUGAUUCCAGGGAAGACUUCAGAGUCUGUGUUUAAAACUCUUACAGCACUUCCCACAAAAGGGAGCUGGAACUGCUAUUUCAGGUGCUUUGAGGGGCUUUGGGAUUCUGGGUACAUGAGAUCUCCAUUAAUAACUAAGUUAGUUUUCUUCCCUUGAACAUCCAUCAACAACCUCUCAAAACCAGGCUAUUAGGGAUAUUUGGCAGGAAAUUGUUGCUGGAUUAGACCAAUCCUGUAUCUGUGAAGUAAUAGAUUGAUAGAUUAACUAACCAGACACUUUGUCGGACACUUCAUACACAGACAUUCAUAUCCUCACGACCAUUCUUCAAGGUGAUUGUCAUUAUCCCACAUUUAUAAGUGAGGAAGCUGAAGCUCUGUGCACCCACUCACUGGCUCCAAGACCACAGAGCUAGUGGGUAGGACAGCCAGUUUGAGUUUGGGUCUCUCUAGUCUCUUUCUGUGAGUUGAUGUCUUCCCUGACAUACUCAUCAUCCGACAAGCUGCUCAGCUCCCAUGCUCUGAGAAGGUUGGGUUUGUACAGGAUAACUUGUAUCAUACUGAGCGUGUGGACGCAACUCUCAUGGGCAAAGGGAAAAGGCAAAUUGCCCUACUAAAAGGAAAGGAAAUUGCACCUUACAGUUAAAGAGAGAAAAGGUUAACAUAUUUGCCAAAACCUUACACACUCACUAAAAAAAAAAAAAAAGAAUAAAUCAAUUAAGGCAUUUUGCAAUAUAGCUACAGUUAACAAACUAUAAAAUACAAUGAACUUAAUUUGAUCUGCCAUUUAAAAAUCUCUUCCCCAGUUAUGGGUGGCUAAUGUCCCCAGACAAAUUCCUACAGUCCAAAAGAACAAGUACCUGCAGUCCAAGGAACAAAAUCUCUUGUCCCACUUAAAGUGGUUCUCUGGACAUUUAGACUUUUAGGGGAAAUAUAAUAAGAGACAACAAGCAAAUUAUAACUCACCAGGUGACAGGAAUGGAAACCUGGAAUAUAUGCUUUCCUGAAAACAACUGACAACCUUUGGCAUUCCUCCUUUUUUAUUUUCUCCCUUCAAAAACGCAACAAAAUAAAGCCAAAAAAAAACUUCCAGUAAUUUCAGCUGGAAAAUGAACACUCCAGAUCGCUCUCCUUCUCAAGGAUGAUGAUGAUAUGAUUCACCACCUCCUUACCUGGUUUGUAUGAGUAAAAUCAUCAAGUACAUGUUCUCGAUAUUUAUAAAGACAAAUUUACGAUUCAAUGGGCGAUGCUGCACACAGCCAAAGGUUUCAAUGCCCUAGCUCUUAAUAAAUCCCCUUGAGUCUUUGAAGCUUUUACAGCAUGAGCAUCUAAAUAGCAAGUCCUCAGCCUCAUGGGAUUAAGCACUAUUCAUUUCCAACCCCGAGUUCUUGUCCUGCCGACUUUUCCAUUUGUGCGUUGGCCAGGUGUUUCUGCCUCCUUUGUCCCAGCAGAGCUCUCGGGAUAGACUUCUCUGUCAUCAUUCAGUAUCUCCCUCCCUGCAGCAGGUCCACUGGUGAAGACAGGGCCUUUGAGAAAGCCAGGAAGCAUGUCCAGAAUUCCUACAAAUUCUACCAUUUUGUACAGAAAUUACAUGACUAUUUUUAAAAACAAGAUUUGAGAAUUACAAAUUCAGAAUUAUCAGGAGUUCUCACCGGACAAAAUUGAAAGCAGGACAGUGGAGGGAAAUUUCCUACACUCUAAAUAAUUGGAAGUGUAAUCUUAUAAAAAGAUAAUUUAAAAAUGAUUCAUCUUACUUCUAAAAGGGCUCACAGAAAAGCUCUUAAAAAGCAAUUCUCCCCAGUCCAUUGCAAAUACAAUUCACAUCUCAAUUCAG
rnacentral:lncRNA from 1 species